UCCAAUUUGCUUCAAUUUUAACUCUCUUUUUUAUCUCAUUCCUAUUUAAGAUUAAAAUUUAAACGAAAAGAAAUAAGUGAAAGAAAGUGAAUUCAUAUUUGUGAGCUCCUCCACCGCUGCGAUAACAAUAAUGCGGUCUCUCUGAAUGAUUUCUCAGCUUCAUCACAAGAUGGAUUUAUUCAGGAAAGCAAUUCUGAAUCCAGGGCCGCCUGAAGAUUUCGCGCUCCAGACUGUGCAGCAAGUUAUAAAACCCCAGAAGCAGGUGAAACUCGUUCAAGAUGAAAAUAUGUUGUUGGAAAACAUUCUGCGGACUUUGCUUCAAGAAUUGGUGGUAAAGCCGCAUUACGUUCUUUAUUAUAUUUCCCUAGGUCUACACAUUCUCAAGAGGAAUUAUUAAGAAUUUCUAGUGGUAGAGAUCAAAUUUUGAUGCUUUGAGUUGCUAUUUUGGUGUAAGUUAUGUGAAGUUUAGUUACUCAAUAGAACUUAAUCUAGACAAAAGCUAUUGGCUGGUGUUAACAAUUUAUAAAUUGGAACUUAUCUAAAGCUAAAACAUGUGUGACUGAU